rfam:Colletotrichum salicis strain CBS 607.94 Scaffold_2458.1, whole genome shotgun sequence.
CGUUUGCCUGUUGUGGACAGAUGAAGUGGAUAUGAGUAUCAAUGCCGCCGGCAGUGAUAAUCUUGCCCUCGCCAGCGACGACAUCCGUACAGCUGCCGACAACCAUGUUCGGUGUCACGCCGUCCAUGACGUCUGGGUUACCCGCCUUUCCAAUACCCACAAUCAUACCGUCCUUUACACCAAUGUCGGCCUUGUAGAUGCCCGUCCAGUCAACAAUGAGGGCAUUGGUGACGACCAUAUCCAGAGACUCCGAGUCCGGACGGCCCGUUGCCUGGCCCAUACCUUCUCUCAACG